rnacentral:misc_RNA from 1 species
ACCCUGCCUAUUAUACAAUUUUGAAGGCUCAAUAAUAGCCUAAUCAGUUCCUAUUCUAUUGCAUUCAACCAUCGUUAAAAAUUCCCCUAUUUUGAUCUCCUAUGGUCUCCCGUGUUCACCAUCAACUUCAUUAGCGACAAACUUCACAACAACUCUGCUAGAAGACGACCACCGGCAAUAGGUGAGGAACACAGAGAAGGGUUGCCAGGAAAUUAACCAAUCGAAUCAAUGGCACAUUUAGAAAUGCAAUUGCAAUACCAGCUGUUCUUAAUUGAAUGACUGGGUGACAACAUUUUUUCAUUUUUAAUGCAUCCAUCUUCCCAUUUUCAUUGUCAUUAUCUUCCUUCUCUUGUGUGCACGAUGCUUCGCUGCAAUCCGUAGCUUCCUCUUAGCAUUCCGCAUUGGGUUCACAACAGCCAUGACCUUUUCCUCUCGCUUCCUCUUUUCUCUCUUCACCUUGAUACUUCUCCUCAUCUCACUAUAAACCUGUACAAAAUUGUGGAUGCCCAAAGCAUUCCGCAUACUUUUGCAAACCUCUUCCGCUAGCAGCUUCAAUUCAUCAGUGACAACUUUCCCAGCAAAUCCUUCACAAACUUUAUACAACGGUAACAGCAUGUCAAAUGCAUGCUUCUGUAACUUGUCCUGUUCUAUUUGUAAAGAAAUCUUUCCAAAAGUAUUGAAGAUGAUUUUCAUCUGAAUAGCCUCCUUUUGAAGAGCAAUUUUCCCCAUUUUUUUAAUCAAAUUAGAGAGGAGCAAAUAUUGGAGAUUCUCACAACGGUCUCCAUAAUCUUGGUCAUGGACACCAGAUAUAACUUUUAAAAAGAUGUCUUUUCCUUUUCUUGCAUCAAGCAACUGAAAGGCUUUAAGAAAUUGGCCUUGUUCAUGCUGUUCAAGCGUAGACCAGAAAGUAGAAGGAUCCACAGAUUCCACUUUUCCCAUCAGAGAAUGAAUAGCAGAAAUUGUAAAGACAAGAUUCUGUGUAAUC